rnacentral:rRNA from 1 species
AGAGUUUGAUCAUGGCUCAGGACGAACGCUGGCGGCGUGCCUAACACAUGCAAGUCGAACGGAACUUUUUUAAAGGAUUUCUUCGGAAUGAAUUUGAUUAAGUUUAGUGGCGGACGGGUGAGUAACGCGUGAGUAACCUGCCUCUAAGAGGGGAAUAACAUUCUGAAAAGAAUGCUAAUACCGCAUAACAUAUAUUUAUCGCAUGGUAGAUAUAUCAAAGAUUUAUCGCUUAGAGAUGGACUCGCGUCCGAUUAGUUAGUUGGUGAGGUAACGGCUCACCAAGACCGCGAUCGGUAGCCGGACUGAGAGGUUGAACGGCCACAUUGGGACUGAGACACGGCCCAGACUCCUACGGGAGGCAGCAGUGGGGGAUAUUGCGCAAUGGGGGAAACCCUGACGCAGCAACGCCGCGUGAAGGAUGAAGGUCUUCGGAUUGUAAACUUCUUUUAUUAAGGACGAAGGAAGUGACGGUACUUAAUGAAUAAGCUCCGGCUAACUAC